AUUAGACGAAUCAUCUGGAAAGAUGAAUCAAAGAAGGUAAUAAUCCUGUAGUCGAAAAUGUUGUCUCUCUUGAGUGGAUCCUGAGUACGACGGAGCACGUGAAAUUCCGUCGGAAUCUGGGAGGACCAUCUCCUAAGGCUAAAUACUCUCUAGUGACCGAUAGUGAACCAGUACCGUGAGGGAAAGGUGAAAAGCACCCCGGAAGGGGAGUGAAAUAGAACCUGAAACCGUGUGCUUACAAGUAGUCAGAGCCCGUUAAUGGGUGAUGGCGUGCCUUUUGUAGAAUGAACCGGCGAGUUACGAUUUGAUGCAAGGUUAAGCAGUAAAUGUGGAGCCGUAGCGAAAGCGAGUCUGAAUAGGGCGUUUAGUAUUUGGUCGUAGACCCGAAACCAGGUGAUCUACCCUUGGUCAGGUUGAAGUUCAGGUAACACUGAAUGGAGGACCGAACCGACUUACGUUGAAAAGUGAGCGGAUGAACUGAGGGUAGCGGAGAAAUUCCAAUCGAACCUGGAGAUAGCUGGUUCUCUCCGAAAUAGCUUUAGGGCUAGCCUCAAGUGAUGAUUAUUGGAGGUAGAGCACUGUUUGGACGAGGGGCCCCUCUCGGGUUACCGAAUUCAGACAAACUCCGAAUGCCAAUUAAUUUAACUUGGGAGUCAGAACAUGGGUGAUAAGGUCCGUGUUCGAAAGGGAAACAGCCCAGACCACCAGCUAAGGUCCCAAAAUAUAUGUUAAGUGGAAAAGGAUGUGGCGUUGCCCAGACAACUAG
rnacentral:rRNA from 1 species